GCGCGGCCCGUCACCCCGUUACUGUGCUGCCGAGGGGAGCAGCGCUAUGUCAUGAGCCCGCUCGCCGUGUUGGGGUUGGUGAGACUGUUUCUGCCUUGAAAUACAGGCAAAAAUAGUUAUGGAACUAUUUUAAUUAAGACAUUUAGGAAAGAGAGCAGCAUGUAGACGUGACUGUUUCAGAAGAAUGAAGAGGUCACCUUCCAGAGGACAGUCCUUUCAACAAGAGAAUACCUGCAGAUGCACAGCACAAGCACAAGGUUUUACAUCAAUAGCUCCCUGGGUGCAAUGUUCAGCUCAAGUCUUAUGAUUUCAUCAAAAUAUUACUCAGUGUGCGGUAUCUGAAAUAGAAGGAGAUGUACAAACUGCCAUUCAAAAACCAAGAUUGUAAUUAAUGAAUGAACAGCAAAAAAUACCAUUAAGUCCUGCUGGGGUACUGAUAGACAUGUUGUUGCUCUCGGCGUGAUGAAAGGUAGCCCUCUGUGAGACAGGUUGCCAGGAGAAUGAGAAGCUCUGCUUGAACAUCCAGACACUUUGUGCAGAGAAGCCAGGAAGCUGACUCUGUGGGGGACAGGCUUCAUCCUUGUGAAUGACCCUCACAAGCUGAGUCCUGUACUUCCUCACUUGCAGACCUGGAGAGACAUAACCAAGCAGAAAUAAUAGACGUAAUUCAGGAAGAUACAAUCCCAGUAGCAGCAGAAUGACAGUAGCUCACUCUCGGCGUGAAGAAGAUCUCUGUUCCCGUGUAACCCCUUGAAAACCCAGAGGCUACGUUCUGUGGACCAGAAAACACCAGAGGUGGUCGAGUGGUGGUGAAGGGUUUCAUUUACCAUUGAGUGACGAUUUGCUCUUGACAGACCUGAUGGAAGACAGCAUGCAUGGAGACAUUGUGAGGAGCCUUCUGCCGAUUAACAGAGGGCAAUGGUGACUUGAUGGACUGGGGAGGAUUCUUCUCCCCUAUAUUUCUUGAGCCAAUGUUGUUCCAGCAUUCUGGUGCAGAAGUGCUGAUUUUGCAGCAAGAGAAUGGAGGGCCACACAGUUGCUAGGAUUACAGUGGCAUGAGUUCUCCUUGCCUGAGUACAACAGGACGUCUUUGGGACCAAGUCACAAGUGUCGUCAACAGGAGACAACCUUGACUGGGAAACCUCUUCCAUUGGCAGCAGUUAUAUACUGUUGGAGGAGUGACAGGACAUCAAACUGCAUGAGAUGCGGUGCUGUGGCUUGUCGUGUAGCUUGCUGGUCUGCGGUUGGUGAGACUCCGCAGAAUAAACUGCUCUCGGUGAAGGUCUGGGUUCAAAUCCACUGAGUGCAGGGCCUUUGGGUGGAGCAGUGGCACUGUGGCUGGAAGGUUGCUGGUUCAAAUCCCAUGGCUGGCAGAGGAAUCCUAC